rnacentral:tRNA from 1 species
AGCAGCGUGGCUCAGUGGAAAGAGGCCGCGCUUGGAAGUCGGAGGUCGUGGGUUCUAGUCCCGCCUCUGCCG